AGAGUUUGAUCAUGGCUCAGGACGAACGCUGGCGGCGUGCUUAACACAUGCAAGUCGAACGAUGAACCUCCUUCGGGAGGGGAUUAGUGGCGAACGGGUGAGUAACACGUGGGCAACCUGCCCCGCACACUGGGAUAAGCCCUGGAAACGGGGUCUAAUACCGGAUAUGACUCAAGGUCGCAUGGUCUUGGGUGGAAAGCUCCGGCGGUGCGGGAUGGGCCCGCGGCCUAUCAGCUUGUUGGUGAGGUAACGGCUCACCAAGGCGACGACGGGUAGCCGGCCUGAGAGGGCGACCGGCCACACUGGGACUGAGACACGGCCCAGACUCCUACGGGAGGCAGCAGUGGGGAAUAUUGCACAAUGGGCGCAAGCCUGAUGCAGCGACGCCGCGUGAGGGAUGAAGGCCUUCGGGUUGUAAACCUCUUUCAGCAGGGAAGAAGCUCUUGAGUGACGGUACCUGCAGAAGAAGCGCCGGCUAACUACGUGCCAGCAGCCGCGGUAAUACGUAGGGCGCGAGCGUUGUCCGGAAUUAUUGGGCGUAAAGAGCUCGUAGGCGACUUGUCGCGUCGGUUGUGAAAGCCCGGGGCUUAACUCCGGGUCUGCAGUCGAUACGGGCAGGCUAGAGUUCGGUAGGGGAGAUCGGAAUUCCUGGUGUAGCGGUGAAAUGCGCAGAUAUCAGGAGGAACACCGGUGGCGAAGGCGGAUCUCUGGGCCGAUACUGACGCUGAGGAGCGAAAGCGUGGGGAGCGAACAGGAUUAGAUACCCUGGUAGUCCACGCCGUAAACGGUGGGCACUAGGUGUGGGCGGCAUUCCACGUCGUCCGUGCCGUAGCUAACGCAUUAAGUGCCCCGC
rnacentral:rRNA from 1 species